GACGAACGCUGGCGGCGUGCUUAACACAUGCAAGUCGAACGGAAAGGCCUGCUUUCCCUUGUGGAUUGCGGGUACUCGAGUGGCGAACGGGUGAGUAACACGUGAGUGAUCUGGCCCCAACUUGGGUAUAAGCCUGGGAAACUGGGUCUAAUUCCCGAUAGGACUGCAGGGUGGUGCCUGUGGUGGAAAACGAUUUUCUAGUGGUUGGGGAUGAGCUCGCGGCCUAUCAGCUUGUUGGUGGGGUAAUGGCCUACCAAGGCGGCGACGGGUAGCCGGCCUGAGAGGGUGGACGGCCACAUUGGGACUGAGAUACGGCCCAGACUCCUACGGGAGGCAGCAGUGGGGAAUAUUGCACAAUGGGCGGAAGCCUGAUGCAGCGACGCCGCGUGGGGGAUGACGGCCUUCGGGUUGUAAACUCCUUUCGACCGCGAGGAAGCCACCUGGUUGGAAGGGUGGUGACGGUAGUGGUAGAAGAAGCACCGGCUAACUACGUG
rnacentral:rRNA from 1 species